rnacentral:rRNA from 1 species
AAUUACCUACGGGACGCAGCAGUGGGGAAUAUUGCACAAUGGGGGAAACCCUGAUCCAGCAACGCCGCGUGAGUGAAGAAGUAUUUCGGUAUGUAAAGCUCUAUCAGCAGGGAAGAAGAAAGACGGUACCUGACUAAGAAGCCCCGGCUAACUACGUGCCAGCAGCCGCGGUAAUACGUAGGGGGCAAGCGUUAUCCGGAUUUACUGGGUGUAAAGGGUGCGUAGACGGCAUAGCAAGUCUGAAGUGGAAGCCCGAGGCUCAACCGCGGAACUGCUUUGGAAACUGUUAAGCUGGAGUACUGGAG